GCCAGUAUUGAAUAUUUAUCUCUUCUUUUCUACUUCUGACGUGAAAAACAGGUGUGGUAAGAACAAUUUAGCAUUCGCUCCACCAGGUUCUUCAUUUAGGGCAAACUACUGCCCCACUGAGGGAUUUCAGACAAAACUGACCUUGAACGCUGAUAUUUACAGGCAAGGACUCCCAGGUAAACAGUCCGUCUGUUUCAAUAUAUUGAGAGUGCUCCGUUUGAUUUAGUUUCCAACUAACUUUACUACAUUUCCCUGCUGCUGUAAAGGGGAGCGAGAUGCGUGAGCGAUAUAAAAGUAAGGAGAACGCGGGCAGUGAGUGCAUCCAUAGUUUUGAGGGGAAACGGGCGAUUGGAAACAGUCUGUUUAAGAGACACGAAUCACCUAUGCCAGGAGAACCUGCCAGCUACUCGGAGAGGCCAAAUUCUCCUACUGGAGAGCUCUCCACAGUUGUGAGUCAAGGCAACAAGGCCUUGGGAUAUGUGAUUGCCUAAAGGAUGGCAGCUCUGAACAGGCAGGAUGUCAAAGACUCAGAGGGAAAGGUGAAUCACUCAAAAAAUACACUGAACAAAAAUAUAAAUGCAACGUGUAAAGUGCUGGUCCCAUAUUUCAUGAACUGAAAUAAAAGUUCCCAGAAGUUUUCCAUAUGCACAAAAAGCUUAUUUAUCUCUAAUUUUGUGCACAAAUUUGUUUACCUCCCUGUUAGUGAGAAGUUUCUCCUUUGUAAAGAUAAUCCAUCCACCUGACAAGUAUGGCAUAUCAAGAAGCUGAUUAAACAGUAUAAUAAUUACACAGGUGCACCUUGUGCUGCGGACAAUAAAAGGCCACUCUAAAAUUUGCAGUUUUGUCACACAACACAAUGCCACAGAUGUCUCAAGGGAGAGUGCAAUUGGCAUGCUGACUGCAGGAAUGUCCACCAGAGCUGUUGCCAGAGAAUUUAAUGGUAAUUUCUCUACCAUAAGCCACCUCCAACGUUGUAUUAGAGAAUUUGGCAGUGUGUCCAACCGGCCUCACAACCACAGACUACGUGUAACCACGCCAGCCCAGGACCUCCACAUCCAGCUUCUUCACCUGCAGGAUUGUCGGGGUGGGCACUGAGGGGUAUUUCUGUCUGUAACAAAGCCCUUUUGUGGGGAAAAAAACUCCUUCUGAGCCCCUGCCCAGUCAUGUGAAAUCAAUAGAUUAUAGAACUGUAACUCAGCAAAAUAUUUGGAUUUGUUGCAUAUUGCGUUUAUAUAUUUGUUCAGUUCAGUAUGACUUAAUUUGUUUUCUGGUGGUUCAGAUUCAUUCAGCCAUUCUGAUAACUUUGAAUCAACUGUGUACUAGUGCUGAUUGAUUAGUGCUUUUUGAUGUCGGUUCAGUUUCGGUAUAUAAUCACAUUUCUGUUUAAUGCACUAGGCAUUAUGUUGGUUGAAUGCUGUAACAACACAGAAUAAAAUAAUUAAUAAAAGUCA